ACUCAAAUGAAUUGACGGGGGCCCGCACAAGCGGAGGAACAUGUGGUUUAAUUCGAUGAUACGCGAGGAACCUUACCCGGGCUUGAAAUGGAGGGGAAUAUCGAGGAAACUUGAUAGUCAGCAAUGACCCCUUUGUAGGUGCUGCAUGGUUGUCGUCAGCUCGUGCCGUGAGGUGUCGGCUUAAGUGCCAUAACGAGCGCAACCCUUAUUGUUAGUUACUAUCAGGUUAAGCUGAGGACUCUAACGAGACUGCCACCGUAAGGUGUGAGGAAGGUGGGGAUGACGUCAAAUCAGCACGGCCCUUACGUCCGGGGCGACACACGUGUUACAAUGGGAGGUACAGCAGGCAGCUACCUGGUGACAGGAUGCGAAUCUUCUAAAACCUCUCCCAGUUCGGAUCGGAGUCUGCAACUCGACUCCGUGAAGCUGGAUUCGCUAGUAAUCGCGCAUCAGCCAUGGCGCGGUGAAUACGUUCCCGGGCCUUGUACACACCGCCCGU
rnacentral:rRNA from 1 species